ACCAAUCACAGUGCAGAACUGUUUGACGUCACACGACUUUCAACCGGAAGAGCGAAUGUAAACAGACCAGGAGAGCUUGAGAACGGAAUCCUUUGCUGUACUUCUCAAAAAGUGCUUUAGCCAUUUUUUUUUAUCCAUAACAACUAAUCCGACAGAUUAAGUGAUAUGCUCACGGCAGGAUUGUCAUGUGUGAACGACUCACAUGGACAUCCUGUCAGCUAGCUGCUAGCUAGAGUUAGCUCAUUAGUCUCACUGCGACACAACUUUAUGGUUAUUUCGCAGCAUGCCUCAAGAAACAGAGCAGUCUCUCCCCUUGGUGCGCUCCCUGAAAAGUCGUAUCCCCAUUAAGGCUGUGUUUUGUAACCGCAGUCCUCGUGUUGUUCGUCCACUGUGGAUAAACUUUAGCGGGGAACCUAAAGCGUACAAUGAUCUCCAGCCAGGCACGGGACGAGAAAUGAACACCUUCAUCGGUCAUCCAUGGAUGUUCAGGGAUGCAGAGACUGAUGAGCCACUGAGGGUGAACAGCAAAGAACUGUAUCUUCCUAAACCAGCAGAGGGUGCAGUUGCCAACAUCACUUUGCCAGUUUACAGCCUGAAGGAUCGUGCUCUCCAGGUAAUUCGACGCCUGGUACGACCAGAAGACUACAGGAGCUUGGAAAUAGCACGAUGUCUCCACGAGGAGCUGGAAGAUCAUCCCAGUAUGUCCAAAGAUCUGACACGCAUGAAUCAACGAGUCGAGCAACAUCUGGAGGAGAGGAUCCAAGGCCAGGAGGAGUGAAUGUAAACUAGAUGGCUACAGCAGACAGUUAUGGUGAGCAGGGUGCAGGAACAUCAGGAACAUGCAGGCAGGGGAUAUGAAAAAAACAUGGGACUCAAGUCGUUUCAGGCAAGGAUGCAUGACACAUUGGCAAAGGAGUCACCCAGUCAUGUUCCAACAUCUGCACACAGACCACUGGAGCAAAAUGAAAAUAAUGGUUCCAGUUGGUCUUGCGUCAGUUCCAGCUGCAUUGUUGAAGGAAAGAGUGUAUGCACAAGGAGCUCAACACCACGUCACCACCAGAAGCCUGUUACCUCCUCUUAUCCAGGAUGAGGCAACAGUUCAUGUCCCUGGAAUGCAUUCAAACGCACCCAGAAACUCACCUCAGUACAGGAAUGUGUACAAUGACCGAGCCAGGAGGGACUUCUGCUACUGGUUCAUUGAAAAGAAGCCUUCAAUGUGUAAAGGAAACAGCUUUGGUGCCUACAAAACAUCCCUUGGAUUACCAAAAGUCUAAGAAGAAGCUUUACAGAUUAAUAUUUUCAGCCCCUCUGACUCUAUUUGUCAAAAUAUUCUUCCAUUUAUAUAUUCUCACUUGGGAGAGAUAAUGUGUAUUUUGUGUCUUAUUUACCAUCACAAUACUAAAGUGUGUCCAUAUUUAAAAAGCUAUCAAGACACUAUUUACUUUUCUUUAGGAUGGUUUCACCUUGAGUGGAAAUAUUUUUUUAAAUAGUUGGGCAUGUAAAAUGUCCUGGCUGCAAGAAUGUUUUUGGGAUGAUGUUUAAAAUAUGUUGAAUAAAAACUCUAUGAACAUCUCA